CCAGUACCUUCCCUCUCCUCCUGAUUAGUGUAAGGUUAGCUCAUUUUAGAGUCUAUACCACUGGGAGGGCAGAGGAAAUGUGCCAGAUUCACCAUCUAUUGUUUUGUAAUAUGAGGUAGCUAAAUGCUUUCACUCUACAAUGAAAACUCCUUAGAUUAGUCAAUUAGGAUUCAUCCAUGAACCAAGAAAGGAAGAAGAGAACAGAUGUUGAGGGACAACUAAUAGUAUCAGCACAAUGAGGUGCUUGGAUAUUUUUAGAAGAUUCCCCUUUGUCAAAGAUCCCAUGGCUUGGUGUGGAGUGGUGUGAGUUGUGCCCAGUGGAACAUUUAGGUCAUUGGUUGGUUGAAAACUCUGCUCUCUGCAUCCUU
rnacentral:lncRNA from 1 species